UAACUGUGCAAAGGUAGCAUAAUCAGUAGUUUUUUAAUUGAAGGCUUGUAUGAAGGGUUGGACAAAGAAUAAUCUGUUUCUGUUUUUAUUUUUGAACUUUACUUUUAAGUGAAAAGGCUUAAGUGUGUUUAAGGGACGAUAAGACCCUAUAAAUCUUUAUAUUAAAUUAUUUUUUAACAAUUAAUAUAGUAAAUAAAAUAAUAAAAUAAAAAAUAUUUUGUUGGGGUGAUGAAAAUAUAAAAUUAACUGUUUUAAAAUUAAAACAAAGUUGUUUGAAAAAAAAUAAUUGAUCCUUUGUUAAGAUUAAAAUUUUAAGUUACUUUAGGGAUAACAGCGUUAUUUUUUUUGAGAGUUCUUAUCGAAAAAAAAGUUUGCGACCUCGAUGUUGAAUUAAAAUUUCUUUAUGGUGCAGAAGUCAUAAGAGAGAGUCUGUUCGACUUUUAAAAUUUUACG
rnacentral:rRNA from 1 species